rnacentral:rRNA from 1 species
AACGAACGCUGGCGGCAUGCCUAACACAUGCAAGUCGAACGAGACCUUCGGGUCUAGUGGCGCACGGGUGCGUAACGCGUGGGAACCUGCCCUUAGGUUCGGAAUAACUCCCCGAAAGGGGUGCUAAUACCGGAUAAUGUCUUCGGACCAAAGAUUUAUCGCCUUUGGAUGGGCCCGCGUUGGAUUAGCUAGUUGGUAGGGUAAAAGCCUACCAAGGCGACGAUCCAUAGCUGGUCUGAGAGGAUGAUCAGCCACACUGGGACUGAGACACGGCCCAGACUCCUACGGGAGGCAGCAGUGGGGAAUAUUGGACAAUGGGCGAAAGCCUGAUCCAGCAAUGCCGCGUGAAUGAUGAAGGCCUUAGGGUUGUAAAGCUCUUUUACCCGGGAUGAUAAUGACAGUACCGGGAGAAUAAGCGCCGGCUAACUCCGUG